AGCUCAGGCACGCUCGCGCCCGGGGCCGACUGGACUCUGCGAGCUCGAGGGUCAGCGGCUCGCGGGCGGCGCGGGUCUCCCACGAGCCGCCGGGGCAGUGAUCAAAGGCGCGCGCCGUGUCCAGAGUGGUUCCUGCUCCUGCUGGGAUUCCUACCCCGUGGAGGCGGACAACUUCCACAGACCUGAGCCCCGAACCCCGAAAUGAGGCUUCUGUUCCUGAUGGCCGAGGCUGUGGAGGACUACAAUUCACCAGGACAAAGACCACGAUCGGGUUUCACACUGAACAACGAACCUUCAUUCUUCUCCAAAGCCGAAACAAUUGAGAAAAUCCCAGUGCUAAUCGGUGUAAGACAGUCCUAUAAUUACCUGGACGGGAAAGACCACACCUUGAGCAGUUGUUCUAGAGUAUUCUGGUAACCUGAAGAACUGCUGUCAAUACAAGUGCUUUGGAA
rnacentral:lncRNA from 1 species